UCCGGCCCCCCCCCUCCCCCGCGGGGCCCGAGUUGUAAUUUGGAGAAGAGGCUUCGGGCGCGCCCCCCGUCUAAGUUCCCUGGAACGGGACGUCGGAGAGGGUGAGAAUCCCGUAUGUGACGGGGCGGCGUCGCCCGUGUGAAGCUCUUUCGACGAGUCGAGUUGUUUGGGAAUGCAGCUCAAAACGGGUGGUAAAUUUCAUCUAAAGCUAAAUACGGGCCAGAGACCGAUAGCGCACAAGUAGAGUGAUCGAAAGAUGAAAAGCACUUUGGAAAGAGAGUUAAACAGUACGUGAAAUUGUUGAAAGGGAAGCGCUGGCGACCAGACGUGCACGUCGGCGAUCAUCCGGGACUCGCCCCCGGUGCACUCGGCGGCGCGCAGGCCCGCAUCGGUUUGGGGGGCGGGACAAAGGCCCCUGGAAUGUAGCUCCCCCGGGAGUGUUAUAGCCAGGGGCGGCAUGCCGCCCCCCCAGACCGAGGACCGCGCUCCGGCUAGGAUGCGGGCGUAAUGGUCGUCAGCGACCCGUCUUGAAACACGGACCAAGGAGUCUAACAUCUAUGCGAGUGUUUGGGUGGCAAACCCACACGCGGAAUGAAAGUGAACGGAGGUGAGAGCCCGCACGGGCGCAUCAUCGACCGGUCCUGAUGUCUUCGGAUGGAUCUGAGUAAGAGCAUAGCUGUUGGGACCCGAAAGAUGGUGAACUAUGCCUGAAUAGGGUGAAGCCAGAGGAAACUCUGGUGGAGGCUCGCAGCGGUUCUGACGUGCAAAUCGAUCGUCAAAUUUGGGUAUAGGGGCGAAAGACUAAUCGAACCAUCUAGUAGCUGGUUCCUGCCGAAGUUUCCC
rnacentral:rRNA from 1 species